GCACCCUCUCUCCACUGGCUUCUGUGCUGAUAUGGCCUCAGACCAAUGCUGCUAGCAAGUAGGUGGCCUAGGUGGCCCUGGUUACAGCAGUGUGGGUCUCUCUAAAAGAGCUUUGAGCUGGACUCCAGAGAGCACAGGUCAGUCAGAUCCAAUCAGACGGGCAUAGGGAGGAGUGGGGGUGCUACAUGGGCAAAGGAAUUUCUAUGUCCUUCCGGAUGCUUAUCUGAUCAUUCUUUCCUCCUCUGUUGCUCUAGGGUAUGUGGAUCAUUAAUAAAAUACAGCAGCGAUUCUCAACCAGGGGUGAUUUUUCUCCCCCAGGGGACAUUUGUCAAUGUCUAGAGACAUUUUUAGAUGUCACAACUUGAAGUUUGCUACUGGAGUCUAGUGCGUAGAGGCCAGAGAUGCUGCUAAAGAUCCUACAGUGCACAGGAUGGCCCUCACAAGAAUUUUUCAACCCAAUAUGUCAACAGUGCCAAUGUUGAGAAACCCAUACACAGUGAGGCCUUAUUGACCAGAAGUUGAGAAACAGCAGUUAUAAAGACCAUGCAUGUGACUCCAGAUAAGAGAUGCUACACCCUGUCCUGUGAAGCUAUGAAGAACCAAGAAAUGUCACACAAACAUUACACACAGGGUGGUUUCCAGGAAGGAGAAGGCCCUCCAACCAAGCACUGUCUGGCCAUGCCUGAGCUUUUGUGCAGCCUCUUCAGGCUGGAACAGUGUCUGCGCCGGGCCCAGACAUGGUGUGCACUCAGCAGGUGGAAGUUGUUAUCCCUGGCCACCAUCAGGGAGCUGAAGUCUUUAGUCACUUGAGGAGGGAGUCAUGGACACCUGCGUGAAGACCACAGCUCCAUCACUUCUUCUCAAACAAGCUCAGUUUGGUGUAGAAACAUAUAAAUGGAGCUGAAGAGAGGCCCUUCAAUAUUCGCUUCAUCCAGGGAGUCAGGAGACAUACGAGUGGAAGUGAGGUGGCGGGUACCAGCAGAUUUGGCCUUUUCUGAAAGAACUGUGCAGGCAUGGGAAAGAGUCCUAGCAGAUGCAAUAAUAAAUUAAUAAAGAGGA
rnacentral:lncRNA from 1 species